GACGAACGCUGGCGGCGUGCCUAAUACAUGCAAGUCGAGCGAACACAAGAGGAGCUUGCUCCUCUUGGUUAGCGGCGGACGGGUGAGUAACACGUGGGUAACCUGCCUGUAAGACGGGGAUAACUUCGGGAAACCGAAGCUAAUACCGGAUGAUAAAGAGAAACGCCUGUUUCUUUUUUGAAAGUCGGCCUUGUGCUGACGCUUACAGAUGGGCCCGCGGCGCAUUAGCUAGUUGGUGAGGUAACGGCUCACCAAGGCAACGAUGCGUAGCCGACCUGAGAGAGUGAUCGGCCACACUGGGACUGAGACACGGCCCAGACUCCUACGGGAGGCAGCAGUAGGGAAUCUUCGGCAAUGGACGAAAGUCUGACCGAGCAACGCCGCGUGAGCGAUGAAGGCCUUCGGGUCGUAAAGCUCUGUUGUCAGAGAAGAACAAGUACCGGAGUAACUGCCGGUACCUUGACGGUACCUGACCAGAAAGCCACGGCUAACUACGUGCCAGCAGCCGCAGUAACAC
rnacentral:rRNA from 1 species